rnacentral:rRNA from 1 species
ACUUUCAACAACGGAUCUCUUGGUUCUGGCAUCGAUGAAGAACGCAGCGAAAUGCGAUAAGUAAUGUGAAUUGCAGAAUUCAGUGAAUCAUCGAAUCUUUGAACGCACCUUGCGCCCUCCGGUAUUCCGGUGGGCAUGCCUGUUCGAGCGUCAUUUAA